GAUCCGGGCUCAGGACGAACGCUGGCGGCGUGCUUAACACAUGCAAGUCGAACGAUGAAGCCUAGCUUGCUAGGUGGAUUAGUGGCGAACGGGUGAGUAAUACGUGAGUAACCUACCUUUAACUCUGGGAUAAGCCCGGGAAACUGGGUCUAAUACCGGAUACGACCAAUCUCCGCAUGGGGUGUUGGUGGAAAGCGUUAUGUAGUGGUUAUAGAUGGGCUCACGGCCUAUCAGCUUGUUGGUGAGGUAACGGCU
rnacentral:rRNA from 1 species